GAAACAGGUGCUAAUACCGUAUAACACUAUUUUCCGCAUGGAAGAAAGUUGAAAGGCGCUUUUGCGUCACUGAUGGAUGGACCCGCGGUGCAUUAGCUAGUUGGUGAGGUAACGGCUCACCAAGGCCACGAUGCAUAGCCGACCUGAGAGGGUGAUCGGCCACACUGGGACUGAGACACGGCCCAGACUCCUACGGGAGGCAGCAGUAGGGAAUCUUCGGCAAUGGACGAAAGUCUGACCGAGCAACGCCGCGUGAGUGAAGAAGGUUUUCGGAUCGUAAAACUCUGUUGUUAGAGAAGAACAAGGAUGAGAGUAAAAUGUUCAUCCCUUGACGGUAUCUAACCAGAAAGCCACGGCUAACUACGUGCCAGCAGCCGCGGUAAUACGUAGGAGGCAAGCGUUGUCCGGAUUUAUUGGGCGUAAAGCGAGCGCAGGCGGUUUCUUAAGUCUGAUGUGAAAGCCCCCGGCUCAACCGGGGAGGGUCAUUGGAAACUGGGAGACUUGAGUGCAGAAGAGGAGAGUGGAAUUCCAUGUGUAGCGGUGAAAUGCGUAGAUAUAUGGAGGAACACCAGUGGCGAAGGCGGCUCUCUGGUCUGUAACUGACGCUGAGGCUCGAAAGCGUGGGGAGCGAACAGGAUUAGAUACCCUGGUAGUCC
rnacentral:rRNA from 1 species